rnacentral:tRNA from 3 species
GGAGAGUUGGCAGAGCGGUUGAAUGCACCGGUCUUGAAAACCGGCGACGUUGAAAGACGUCCGUGAGUUCGAAUCUCACACUCUCCGCCA